AUCUGGGUGAAUUCUCCUAGGUGCGCCGCUGCAUUCAACACAGCAACUAUCGCCUUCCCUCAACUGCAGCAGUGGAACGCGAGCACGAGUUAUCAGGGUGGACGCAGUUGAUGUUCCAAGGCAACUUGCAUAAAAUAGGGCUUGCUGGUAGGCAACUGCACAAAUAAAUAUAUUACUAUCGAGUAAUCAGUAUGGGAUUUUGCUUGUUGGAGAUCAUGUAUGUCCUUUACGUGUUGGAGAUCUGAAUGUUAAUUGCAUGUGCUGAUUGAGAAAGAACAUGUAUGUCCUUUACUUGUUGGAGAUAUUAAUACUGAUGCAAAAACAUUCAAGGUCAGUUAUGCCUGGUCUGAUUAAUCAACCUACACUUUAUUUCAAUCUUGCUGUGUAUAACUGUCCGCUUCCAAUGGGAUGUGUUUCUUGAGGUAAAUAACUAAAAGAUAAGGAUAUUGGAAAUUCUGUGUAAAUAACUGUCCGUUUCCAAUUGGAUGUGGUUGGCUAUAUCCUACUUUGUAGCUUCACUAUUACUCAUUUCAAGUCUGUUGGCUCACAUGUUUAUCUACAUCACUGUGGCAGAACAAGAAAAUCGAUUCCGGGUAUGAAUUCAGUACGACUGAUGUGAUGCUAAUUGCAUAAUAAAACUUCUGGUUAAGCAAUCUUUUCUCUCUCACCGUGCUCUACUGCUCUUGUUAGUGUUGGCUAGGCCAAUUCAUGUGGUUGUCAUCAUGACAUGGCAAGCAGAGGGCCUAUGCUCCAGGAGCUCCUCCAGCCUGCAAGUUAGUUUUCUUCUUUUUCCAUGGACACGUUUCACAUAUCUAGCUUUUAUUCCCAUUUCCCCACCCGAUUUCUGAUUUCAUUUUAAAGCUGGAGAUGGAUGUUACUAAUUACCAGAGACGAAGAUGGUUCCACUACACAUUUGAAUGAUGAAGCUGGCACAUAACAGUUUGUUGGCCUGCAACAAGGAAGGGCAUCUCUUUGUGGCCGUGCGUGGGCAUGUAUUUGCAACUUCUGAAAAACGAUAGUUAACUACAAACUGUAUAAAGUACUUUUGUGCAUAAAGAUAUGCUCAUGAAGAAAAAUCCUUGUUCAAAAUGCUAUUAUUUGAGUGGUCAGUGAGUUAUGUACAGCUGAACAUUGGAAUACAGUUUAGUUUACAUGAAAAUACUCUUCACACUGGAUG